rnacentral:rRNA from 1 species
CCUANGGGGGGCUGCAGUAACGAAUCUUCCGCAAUGCACGAAAGUGUGACGGAGCGACGCCGCGUGUAGGAGAAGCCCUUCGGGGUGUAAACUACUGUCAGGGGUUAGAAAGUUCUGAUCAACCCCAGAGGAAGGCACGGCUAACUCUGUGCCAGCAGCCGCGGUGAGACAGAGGUGCCGAGCGUUAGGCGGAAUCACUGGGCUUAAAGCGUGUGUAGGCGGAUGUCUAAGUACCUUGUGAAAUCCCACGGCUCAACCGUGGAACUGCUGGGUAUACUGGAUGUCUUGAGCCAGCUAGGGGCUACCGGAACAAAUGGUGGAGCGGUGAAAUGCGUAGAUAUCAUUUGGAACGCCAAUGGUGAAAACAGGUAGCUGGGGCUGUGCUGACGCUGAGACACGAAAGCCAGGGGAGCGAACGGGAUUAGAUACCCUANUANUC